rnacentral:rRNA from 1 species
AUGAACGCUAGCUACAGGCUUAACACAUGCAAGUCGAGGGGAAACGACAUCGAAAGCUUGCUUUUGAUGGGCGUCGACCGGCGCACGGGUGAGUAACGCGUAUCCAACCUGCCCACCACUUGGGGAUAACCUUGCGAAAGUAAGACUAAUACCCAAUGAUAUCUCUAGAAGACAUCUGAAAGAGAUUAAAGAUUUAUCGGUGAUGGAUGGGGAUGCGUCUGAUUAGCUUGUUGGCGGGGUAACGGCCCACCAAGGCAACGAUCAGUAGGGGUUCUGAGAGGAAGGUCCCCCACAUUGGAACUGAGACACGGUCCAAACUCCUACGGGAGGCAGCAGUGAGGAAUAUUGGUCAAUGGACGAGAGUCUGAACCAGCCAAGUAGCGUGCAGGAAGACGGCCCUAUGGGUUGUAAACUGCUUUUAUAAGGGAAUAAAGUGAGUCUCGUGAGACUUUUUGCAUGUACCUUAUGAAUAAGGACCGGCUAAUUCCGUGCCAGCAGCCGCGGUAAUACGGAAGGUCCGGGCGUUAUCCGGAUUUAUUGGGUUUAAAGGGAGCGUAGGCCGGAGAUUAAGCGUGUUGUGAAAUGUAGACGCUCAACGUCUGCACUGCAGCGCGAACUGGUUUCCUUGAGUACGCACAAAGUGGGCGGAAUUCGUGGUGUAGCGGUGAAAUGCUUAGAUAUCACGAAGAACUCCGAUUGCGAAGGCAGCUCACUGGAGCGCAACUGACGCUGAAGCUCGAAAGUGCGGGUAUCGAACAGGAUUAGAUACCCUGGUAGUCCACGCCGUAAACGAUGAGUGCUAGGUGUUGGAUCCUUUCCGGGAUUCAGUGCCGCAGCUAACGCAUUAAGCACUCCGCCUGGGGAGUACGACCGCAAGGUUGAAACUCAAAGGAAUUGACGGGGGCCCGCACAAGCGGUGGAGCAUGUGGUUUAAUUCGAAGCAACGCGAAGAACCUUACCAAGUCUUGACAUCCUUCUGACCGGUACUUAACCGUACCUUCUCUUCGGAGCAGGAGUGACAGGUGGUGCAUGGUUGUCGUCAGCUCGUGCCGUGAGGUGUCGGCUUAAGUGCCAUAACGAGCGCAACCCCUCUCCUUAGUUGCCAUCAGGUUAAGCUGGGCACUCUGGGGACACUGCCACCGUAAGGUGUGAGGAAGGUGGGGAUGACGUCAAAUCAGCACGGCCCUUACGUCCGGGGCUACACACGUGUUACAAUGGCAGGUACAGAGAGACGGUCCCUUGCAAAAUGGAUCAAAUCCUUAAAGCCUGUCUCAGUUCGGACUGGGGUCUGCAACCCGACCCCACGAAGCUGGAUUCGCUAGUAAUCGCGCAUCAGCCAUGGCGCGGUGAAUACGUUCCCGGGCCUUGUACACACCGCCCGUCAAGCCAUGAAAGCCGGGGGCGCCUAAAGUCCGUGACCGUAAGGAGCGGCCUAGGGCGAAACUGGUAAUUGGGGCU